GAUGAAGAACGCAGCGAAAUGCGAUAAGUAAUGUGAAUUGCAGAAUUCAGUGAAUCAUCGAGUCUUUGAACGCACAUUGCGCCCCCUGGUAUUCCGGGGGGCAUGCCUGUCCGAGCGUCAUUGCUGCCCUCAAGCACGGCUUGUGUGUUGGGCCUCCGUCCUCCUCCCGGGGGACGGGCCCGAAAGGCAGCGGCGGCACCGCGUCCGGUCCUCGAGCGUAUGGGGCUUCGUCACCCGCUCUUGUAGGCCCGGCCGGCGCUUGCCGACACAUCAAUCUUUUUUCCAGGUUGACCUCGGAUCAGGUAGGGAUACCCGCUGAACUUAAGCAUGUCAAUAAGCGGAGGA
rnacentral:misc_RNA from 1 species